GAAAUGCGAUAAGUAAUGUGAAUUGCAGAAUUCAGUGAAUCAUCGAAUCUUUGAACGCACAUUGCGCCCGCCAGUAUUCUGGCGGGCAUGCCUGUCCGAGCGUCAUUUCAACCAUCAAGCCCCCGGGCUUGUGUUGGGGACCUGCGGCUGCCCGCAGGCCCCGAAAACCAGUGGCGGGCUCGCUGUCACACCGAGCGUAGUAGCAAUCACCUCGCUCAGGGCGUGCUGCGGGUUCCGGCCGUUAAACAGCCUUACAAAACCCAAGGUUGACCUCGGAUCAGGUAGGAAGACCCGCUGAACUUAAGU
rnacentral:misc_RNA from 1 species